CCUCCUUGUUGUUCUAGUAAGCUGACGAAUGAUCAAGAACACAAUGGCAAGGACACAGAGGAUGAAGGAGGAUGUCACCCACACUUCCCAGCCGUUGGCACAGCAGCCAGAUGCUGAGGAUUGAGACAUUCUACAUAUUCAAGAGGAAAUGCAAAUGAGCAGGAACAACCAGGGCCAAGGAGGACAACUUCUCAGAACUAAUCAAGAAACAAACUGCUGAGAGUUUUGGCUUCCUGCACUGCCAUCAGAAUCCAGCUUCUUCAGAAAUUUUGAGUGAAGGGCUGAAGACCAGCCGAUCUCCAAGAUUCCUCCUGGUCUUUGGAGUCAAAUGGGGAGUGCAGGAGUCUGAGUUGAUGAUAAUAAUGUGACUUUCUCAAUGUUGGUUUAAAGAUUAGACUCAAAUCAAGUAUAACUUUACAGAGCAUUCAUAAUGAUAUACUUGUGCAAGAUACAUCAUGGUUUGAAAGAUUAUGCAAUCUCCUGAUUCUACAACACCAUCUCAAGACCAUAAGUCUCUGGAUGACUUCACAUUACAUUGGUGACUCUGCACAUGGAUUCUGUUUAAAUAUUGGUGAGAACUUCAUUUUUGCACCAUUCCCCCAUUGGGGUCUGUUGACUACUUGCUACUAGGGGCUUUUAGCAAAACACUUCUCAUCCCCUCUUCCCAGUAAGGCCUGCAUGCAAGUUCCUGUUUAUUGUCUA